rnacentral:rRNA from 1 species
AGUGAACGCUGGCGGUAGGCCUAACACAUGCAAGUCGAACGGCAGCACAGUAAGAGCUCGCCCUUACGGGUGGCGAGUGGCGGACGGGUGAGGAAUACAUCGGAAUCUACUUUUUCGUGGGGGAUAACGUAGGGAAACUUACGCUAAUACCGCAUACGACCUACGGGUGAAAGCAGGGGAUCUUCGGACUCUGCGUGACUGAAUUAGCCGAUGUCGGAUUAGCUAGUUGGCGUGGUAAAGGCCCACCAAGGCGACGAUCCGUAGCUGGUCUGAGAGGAUGAUCAGCCACACUGGAACUGAGACACGGUCCAGACUCCUACGGGAGGCAGCAGUAGGGAAUAUUGGACAAUGGGCGCAAGCCUGAUGCAGCCAUACCGCGUGAGUGAAGAAGGCCUUCGGAUUGUAAAGCCCUUUUGUUGGGAAAGAAAAGCAGCAGAUUAAUACCCCGCUAUUCUGACGGUACCCAAAGAAAAAGCACCGGCUAACUUCGUG